rnacentral:rRNA from 1 species
UACAGAGGUCUCAAGCGUUGUUCGGAUUCAUUGGGCGUAAAGGGUGUGUAGGUGGCGCGCUAAGUCGGGUGUGAAAUUUCGGAGCUUAACUCCGAAACUGCAUUCGAUACUGGCGUGCUUGAGGACUGGAGAGGAGACUGGAAUUUACGGUGUAGCAGUGAAAUGCGUAGAUAUCGUAAGGAAGACCAGUGGCGAAGGCGGGUCUCUGGACAGUUCCUGACACUGGAGACACGAAGGCCAGGGGAGCAAACGGG